rnacentral:rRNA from 1 species
GUCCAUGCCGUAAACGAUGAAACUAGCCGUUGGGCAUCUACGGAUGUUUAGUGGCGCAGCUAACGCGAUAAGUUUCCGCCUGGGGAGUACGGCCGCAAGGCUAAAACUCAAAGGAAUUGACGGGGCCCGCACAAGCGGUGGAGCAUGUGGUUUAAUUCGAUGCAACGCGAAACCUUACCUACCCUUGACAUCCUUGGAAUUCUGCAGAGAUGUGGAAGUGCCUUCGGGAACCAAGUGACAGGUGCUGCAUGGCUGUCGU